rnacentral:rRNA from 1 species
AGAUGGAAUUGGUGGUGUAGGGGUAAAAUCCGUAGAUAUCACCAAGAAUACCCAUUGCGAAGGCGAUCUGCUGGAACUCAACUGACGCUAAGGCGCGAAAGCGUGGGGAGCAAACAGGAUUAGAUACCCUGGUAGUCCACGCCCUAAACGAUGUACACUAGUUGUUGGGAUGCUAGUCAUCUCAGUAAUGCAGCUAACGCAUUAAGUGUACCGCCUGGGGAGUACGGUCGCAAGAUUAAAACUCAAAGGAAUAGACGGGGACCCGCACAAGCGGUGGAGCAUGUGGUUUAAUUCGAAGAUACGCGAAGAACCUUACCUGGGCUUGAUAUCCUAAGAACCUUAUAGAGAUAUGAGGGUGCUAGCUUGCUAGAACUUAGAGACAGGUGCUGCACGGCUGUCGUCAGCUCGUGUCGUGAGAUGUUGGGUUAAGUCCCGCAACGAGCGCAACCCACGUAUUUAGUUGCUAACGGUUCGGCCGAGCACUCUAAAUAGACUGCCUUCGUAAGGAGGAGGAAGGUGUGGACGACGUCAAGUCAUCAUGGCCCUUAUGCCCAGGGCGACACACGUGCUACAAUGGCAUAUACAAUGAGACGCAAUACCGCGAGGUGGAGCAAAUCUAUAAAAUAUGUCCCAGUUCGGAUUGUUCUCUGCAACUCGAGAGCAUGAAGCCGGAAUCGCUAGUAAUCGUAGAUCAGCCAUGCUACGGUGAAUACGUUCCCGGGUCUUGUACUCACCGCCCGUCACACCAUGGGAGUUGAUUUCACUCGAAGCCGGAAUACUAAACUAGUUACCGUCCACAGUGGAAUCAGCGACUGGGGUGAAGUCGUAACAAGGUAACCGUAGGAGAACCUGCGGUUG